GACGAACGCUGGCGGCGUGCUUAACACAUGCAAGUCGAACGAUGAACCCGGAGCUUGCUCCGGUGGAUUAGUGGCGAACGGGUGAGUAACACGUGAGUAACCUGCCCUUGACUCUGGGAUAACUGCGGGAAACUGUAGCUAAUACCGGAUACGACCCUCGGCGGCAUCGCCAGGGGGUGGAAAGAAUUUCGGUCAAGGAUGGACUCGCGGCCUAUCAGCUAGUUGGUGAGGUAACGGCUCACCAAGGCGACGACGGGUAGCCGGCCUGAGCGGGUGACCGGCCACACUGGGACUGAGACACGGCCCAGACUCCUAGGGGAGGCAGCAGUGUGGAAUAUUGCACAAUGGGCGCAAGCCUGAUGAAGCAGCGCCGCGUGAGGGAUGACGGCCUUCGGGUUGUAAACCUCUUUUAGUAGGGAAGAAGCGAAAGUGACGGUACCUGCAGAAAAAGCACCGGCUAACUACGUGCCAGCCGCCGCCGUAA
rnacentral:rRNA from 1 species